AUUGAACGCUGGCGGCAGGCCUAACACAUGCAAGUCGAGCGGAUGAAGGGAGCUUGCUCCUGGAUUCAGCGGCGGACGGGUGAGUAAUGCCUAGGAAUCUGCCUGGUAGUGGGGGAUAACGUCCGGAAACGGGCGCUAAUACCGCAUACGUCCUGAGGGAGAAAGUGGGGGAUCUUCGGACCUCACGCUAUCAGAUGAGCCUAGGUCGGAUUAGCUAGUUGGUGGGGUAAAGGCCUACCAAGGCGACGAUCCGUAACUGGUCUGAGAGGAUGAUCAGUCACACUGGAACUGAGACACGGUCCAGACUCCUACGGGAGGCAGCAGUGGGGAAUAUUGGACAAUGGGCGAAAGCCUGAUCCAGCCAUGCCGCGUGUGUGAAGAAGGUCUUCGGAUUGUAAAGCACUUUAAGUUGGGAGGAAGGGCAGUAAGUUAAUACCUUGCUGUUUUGACGUUACCAACAGAAUAAGCACUGGCUAACUUCGUG
rnacentral:rRNA from 1 species